rnacentral:rRNA from 1 species
UACAGAGGUCUCAAGCGUUGUUCGGAUUCAUUGGGCGUAAAGGGCGCGUAGGUGGCAGGGUAAGUCGGGUGUGAAAUCCCGGGGCUCAACCCCGGAACUGCACUCGAUACUGCCUUGCUCGAGUACUGGAGAGGAGACUGGAAUUUACGGUGUAGCAGUGAAAUGCGUAGAUAUCGGAAGGAAGACCAGUGGCGAAGGCGAGUCUCUGGACAGUUACUGACACUGAGGCACGAAGGCCAGGGGAGCAAACGGG